UUUAAGGGGGGAAGAAUGAAACGCACCGUUUCAAUAGAAAAAAAAAAUAGCAAUCAGAUAAUAUAAAAGAAUUGGGACCGACCUACCCCACUCCACUUUCCUUUCUCCUUUCCUUUUUCCAUUUUCUUUGUCCUUCGACAACAUCACUUCUUCCCCUUUCUCUCCAUCAUUUUUAUUUUCCAAUCUUUACUCAAAUCAACAUCAAAACUAUUCACUCAAAAAGCUCCAAAAUUCCCACCGUAUAAUACUCCAAUUGAAGAAUAAAAGAAGCUGAAUCUUUCAAGUGGGUGUAUGCUCUUGGUUAGUGUUUUGGGUGUUAGGGAUUUUGCUCUAAGAGAGGAGAAGAUUACUCACCCCAUAAAGAGUAUUCACUUGAGCUCAAAGAGACUUGCCGACCACUGACUCAUCCGGACAUCUUGAAGUUGUUGGGAGCUCUUCUCUCGAUCCUUCAUAGUUAUUCACAGGUAGCUGAGUAGGAGGUUGCGUCAGUUGCAGCUUGUACAGUUACUUCUUUUUGGUAGGCCUCCUACGGUUGGUGGCCAUGUUGAUGUCUUUUGUUAAUCUUUUUGGUAUUCUGCAGCUGUAGGGAAUAUGUAAUAGUUAUAUUUUGUAAAGUGUAAAAGUUAUACGAUGUAUUUGAUGAUGUUACUUCUUGGAUAAUGGAUAUGUGUAGAUUUGGAUCUCUGGCUGAAUGAUAUACCUCUUUAGCAGGUCUUGUUAUUUUGUAAAAAUGUAGAAAUACAAAGGAAACUCUGUCCAAUUA